UGGAUCACUAAUGAUGGUAUUUCAUGAACCAAGGAUUAUGAAUGCUCCAAUUCUAUAUUCCUGAUUCAAG
rnacentral:snoRNA from 1 species